GGGGAAUUUUGGACAAUGGGCGAGAGCCUGAUCCAGCCAUGCCGCGUGAGUGAAGAAGGCCCUCGGGUUGUAAAGCUCUUUUAGUCGGAAAGAAAGAGUUGCAAUGAAUAAUUGUGAUUUAUGACGGUACCGACAGAAAAAGCACCGGCUAACUACGUGCCAGCAGCCGCGUUAAUACGUAGGGAGCGUGCGUCAAUCGGAAUUACUGUGCGUAAAGGGUGCGCAGGCGGUCUUGCAAGUCAGAUGUGAAAGCCCCGGGCUUAACCUGGGAAUUGCGUUUGAAACUACAAGGCUAGAGUGCAGCAGAGGGGAGUGGAAUUCCAUGUGUAGCUGUGAAAUGCGUAGAGAUGUGGAAGAACACCGAUGGCGAAGGCAGCUCCCUGGGUUGACACUGACGCUCAUGCACGAAAGCGUGGGGAGCAAACA
rnacentral:rRNA from 1 species